rnacentral:lncRNA from 1 species
UAGGCAUGCAGGGAAGUAAAAAGGCACCCCUCAAAAUGAUGUAGGUUUUUUCACAUGAGCAAGAAUCCCUACAAAGAAAAGGCCACCCACAGAGAAACAGAAGGCAUCAUUUCCAUUAACCAGAGUGCUAGUUUAGUCUCUAAUGUUCAAAUUGGUUGACAAUUUCUUCUGCAUCCUAAAUUACAGAGAGGAUGUAACUUCUGGAGGAACUGGAUUUUGACAUCCCCACCCCACUGCUCACCCCUUUCCUCCAGGCAAGGAAGACAGCAGCAAGCACCACACAGGUCAUGCGUGAAGGGUCAUCCGAUACGAGAAAGAGAAAUGCAUGAAGUUGCAGCAUCUUGGGGAACUGUGCACCAAUGGCCAUGGGCUCAGCAGGGGAUAAUGUCUGAGCAGGUAUAUCCUUCUUUCCUGUAAUUUCAAACAUCUUGCUGGAGCUUGGUUAAAUGUUUUUUUGCAGAGUGAUGACAGCUGAGGAACACACAGAAAAGACAGAGUUCUUCCGCAGCCAGCUUCUAAAGGCUUAAGUCCCUUUUUCUUGCUGAAACAUAAAGGAGUAUUCAUCCCUUAUGAUCAGCUCAAUUGGCAGUGAAAUACAGCCACCUCUGUGGUGAAAACACAGCACUGUGGACCAGAGAGGGAGGAGAGUCCUCAUUGUGAAGAAAAACUAGUAGCAAAUUUAAGGGAAGGUGAAUGUCAGUGUUGUC